GAUCGACAAGCCGACAUCCGGCACGAUCCAGGUGCGCGGCAUCAAUCCGGCCGGCCUGU
rnacentral:sRNA from 1 species